rnacentral:rRNA from 1 species
UUCCCUGAGUAACGGCGAGUGAACAGGGAAAAGCCCAGCACCGAAGCCUGUGGUCAUUUGGUCACUAGGCAAUGUGGUGUUCAGGUCGUUCCAUAGAGGUGCUGCUCCACCCUAAGUCCAGCAAUGAGUACGGUGGUACGGACAUGGCCCACAGAGGGUGAAAGGCCCGUGGGGGUGGAGAUCAGGCAGGCCAGUGCCUCUCUGGGUAGACCUUGGAGUCGGGUUGUUUGUGAAUGCAGCCCAAAGUGGGUGGUAAACUCCAUCCAAGGCUAAAUACUUGCACGAGUCCGAUAGCGAACAAGUACCGUGAGGGAAAGUUGAAAAGUACUUUGAAGAGAGAGUAAACAGUGCGUGAAACCGCUCAGAGGUAAACGGGUGGAGUUGAACUGCAAGCUUCGGGAAUUCAGCUGGUGAGUGUGGUUUGGGCUUGGUCAAGUCGGUUGGACAUUGAGGUCUGUGUAGCGGCAGGUCCUUACUCUCGGGUAAGGAUGCGCGAUACACUUAUCAAGUGUUGUGCGCCUCUUUGUUUAUCGGGCCAAUUUGCCAGUGCACUUUCUCGGAGUGUUCACCACGACCGGCACUGCUGUCUGAUUGCUGUGGUUAAACCGGACUUACAGGGCUCUUGUGGCGUUGUAUGGCCGGGAAGGCAGGUAGCUCGUUGGCUAGCUUGCGGUUUACCGCUGGCGUUUGGUUUUCGAGUGUAAAUAGCUGACCACGAUAUUUCUGUGCAGUGUGUCGGAGACGGCGGCUUGUGGUACGUGCGUGCGUGCCGGUUCUGCUGGCGUGUCCGGGUUUGGUUGUCAUGUUGCUUGUGAAUGCAGGCCUGGCAAUGGUUCGGAUUCGUUUGGUGGGCGGUUGCGUAUGUGGUGCCGUUAAGGGCCAACAGUCUGUGGUGUAGUGGUAGACUAUCCACCUGACCCGUCUUGAAACACGGACCAAGGAGAGUAACAUGUGCGCGAGUCAUUGGGCGUAACGAAACCCACAGGCGCAGUGAAAGUAAAGGCUUGGCUUGUCCAGGCUGAGGUGAGAUCCUGUCGUUUUCACACAUGGUGCCACCAAGCAACGAGCGGCAGGCGCAUCACCGGCCCGUCCCAUGACGUAGACACAUAAUCUUCGGACCAGUGCACCGUCGGGGCGGAGCAUGAGCGUACAUGUUGAGACCCGAAAGAUGGUGAACUAUGCUUGCGCAGGUUGAAGCCAGAGGAAACUCUGGUGGAGGACCGCAGCGAUUCUGACGUGCAAAUCGAUCGUCAAACGUGAGUAUAGGGG